rnacentral:rRNA from 1 species
UCGCCCGCCGCGCGCGGCGGGCCGGGCGGGGGCACGGGGGGCCUACGGGAGGCAGCAGCGGGGAAUAUUGCGCAAUGGGCGCAAGCCUGAUUGCAGCCAUGCCGCGUGUAUGAAGAAGGCCUUCGGGUUGUAAAGUACUUUCAGCGGGGAGGAAGGCGAUAAGG